UAAGAAAUAUAUAUUUAUGCAUGUUUGAUUAUAUCUAAUUUCUGAUCAUAUAAACUAAAUUUUGUAUAAAACCAAACAAACCAAAAAUAAAUAGUAUAUAAACUGAACCAAAUUAAAUUAGUUAUAAUUCCAAUAUAGUAGCUAAUUUUAAUAAACCGAAAUACUAAAAACCAAAAAAGAAUAUGAACCGAAAUGAGACCAAAAUCUGGAUUAGACCAAAAUCCGGAUUGAACAGAGGCUUACAAGUAAAUCUAUAUAUAUAAAACAGGCUUUGGAUCCCUCCCAGGUAUGCCACAUGUGCAUCCACGUCACAAAUUAGUCUUUCCUGCGCGCGACACAUGUCCUCUGCACUGCGUUUCAUUAAAGUGAGUUUAUGAUGUUUCGGGCUUGGAGUUGGGCAUGCCGUUGCGCUUCGUCUACGGCCCAUCGAACACAAUCUCUUACGGAAACCCUAAUCAGUCUCUACGCUCUUCUUUGUGUUCUUCAUUCGCCUUCUAUCAGCACAGGGAUGAUCCAGAAUCUGUAACGGUGUUUGUGAUUUAAAGGUCUUAAAUCGUCUUCAAUCACCAUCCCACUACGAAUCUGAUGCAAUCUCACCGGUGCGAAUCGCGUUAUCUACACUUUUAUAAUCUCACAUCUCACUCAUACUCGAAUCUUACCCCUCAUCUCUCUCAAUGGCUAUGACAAAGGUUUUCUUUUCCGAUCUCAAGUCUGUGCGGUGCUCAUCAGUUGUGGAGGCGAGACUGCUUCGAUUCUGGGAGUCUAAGAACGUUAAGCAUGGUGGGGAGCUAAUGUGGAUGGAUCUGCUCAUGCCAGAGACUGGAUGCUAUUUGGGUUCUUAUUUGUAGUUUUCUGGGCUAUUAGUCUGGUAUUCAUACGUGUCUUAUAUUUUAUUUGAUUCCCUUCCCCUUCUCGAUUUUGCGUUUUCCUUCACCUCCCCCACAAAGUUCCUUUUGCAAAAUGGUUGUAGUUAUGGCAUUCAAUCAUCAAUCCCCACUACGUCUGCUUCAUUGCUUAUUAACAACAUUUUCAUCAUCGCUCUUGGACAAUCUUUACCUUCUAAAUCAGAAAACUCUUAAUAGUUUUAUCUUAUCCACGACAAUGGCAACUCGACGGCCCCACUUCUAUGAGCUAAAGGCUGGCCGCUGCAGUUAGAGUGUUAUCAUGAGGCUUCUUUGUUUCUGGGAAGCUCGAAACUUUAAGAAAGGUGGAGAGUUGCAGCCGUUGAUGUGGUACUGGUAGAUGAGAAGGUAACAACUCUUGGUCUUGAUUUCGCUUUGAUAACAUGCAUCCUUACGAAAUAAGCUGAUUACGUGUUAUGUUCAAGUGGGUUGCAGUCCGCUUUCAUCCAUGCCUCAAUCAAUUUUCAUCGGCUCAUACUUUCAGAAACAUCCUGAAGGAAGGCGGGCUCUUUGACCUAAGUCUGUUUGAUGUAUCAAGGAGCAACCAAAGCUUUUGACUGUCAAAAUUCAAAUACAUAUCUACCAUUGCCUCUCAUGUUUUUCUGCGACACUUCCAGGUUCUAGCCACUCACAAUCUGUACGGACGUCACAGGAGCUUUGUUCGUUGGACGAGGAGUGCUGCUAUGUCGCAAGAUAGUGCAACUGCUGGCUCUGCUUCUGGAGCUAGACCAUUUUGCUCCCUUGAAGAGGCUUGAUGUACCGAUUACUGACUAGACAAAAUUCAAACGACAUACAAUGAAGAUACACAUAAAACUGAGGGUAUUAAUACUACCAUUCGCUUCAAAGGUCUGUCCAACUACUGUCAUAUAUGUUGUUUGGCUAAUUAAUAGAUUAGUUUUGUCAAUUUGAAACUUUUCACUCACCUUACGCUUUACUUUACUCAGGCUAAUGCCGGACUGACGACGGUUCGUCAACAUGGAGGAGUCCAUGAUAUUGUUUUAUAUUUUCACAGUUACUCUAAUCCUUUUUUUUAUUUAAUUCCAAAAAUUUGUAGCAUCAAUAUGUUCCAGUUCAUGUCUUUUCUGUCGGUGUUUUGAAUUUGCCUCUCUAAAACAUUUUCGUACCCAUCAAAAAAAUAUGGUUAAAAAGUUUAAAAAGUUCACCUCAUCUUCGAAUUGAAAAAUUCAUAUCUUCACUUGGAAAUUAAAAUUCG